AAUGAAUAUAAUUGUUAUUUAUAUAAUUUUAUUAAUAAAUUUUAAAUUAAAUAAAUUUUGGUUAUUGUAAGAUAAAUAGAUGUAAUAAUUUUUACUAUAAUGAAUUAGUACUGUAAAGGAAUUUAUAAUGAAUAAUUUAAUAUUUAUUAAAGUUAAUUUUAUUAAUUGUAUCUUGUGUAUCAGAGUAUAUUUAAAUUAAUUAUUUAUUUUAUUUUUCUCGAAUUUAAAAGAUUUAAUUAGGUGAUUUAGUUAUUGUAUCAUAAAUAUUAAUAAUGCUUAAUUGGUAAUGAGAUGUUAAUCGUUUUUAAGGAUAUCUAGUUUUUUAAUAAAUGAAUUUAAUUCAGGAUAUAUGAUUUAUUUAAUAUUUAUUUAUUUAAAUAUUUUAUAUUUCUAAUUUUUAAAGGGAUUAACUUUUAAAAAUAAAUAUUAUAAUAUUUAUUAUUAUUUUGAAUUACAUGAAUUUAGAGUUUGUUAUUGUUUAAAGUAUGUUAAAAUUUAAUUCUAUUUUUGUGAAAUUUUAAGUUUUUUUUAAUUUUUAUAUUAAAAUUUAAAAUUUAAUCUUUUAUUUUAAAAUCUAAUGAUAUUAUUAGUAAAUUUAAAUUUAUAUUGUAAAUGUAUCUUAAAUGUUAAUAUAAAGAAUUAGGCAAAAAUUUCGCUCACCUGUUUWUYAAAAACAUGGUUUCUUGUAUUUAUUUAAGAGAUCUGACCUGCCCACUGAAUUUUAAAGGGCCGCAGUAUUUUGACUGUGCAAAGGUAGCAUAAUCAUUAGUCUUUUAAUUGAAGGCUGGUAUGAAUGGUUGGAUGAGGUGAAUUCUGUUUUAUAUUAAUUUUAAUUGAAUUUAGAUUUUAAGUAAAAAUACUUAAAUUAUGUUAAGGGACGAGAAGACCCUAUAGAGUUUAAUAAAUUAAGUGUAUAAUUGAGUUAAUUUAAAAUUUUUGGUUAUUAUGGUUUUUAUUUAAUUGGGGUGAUUAAAAGAUAAAUUAAACUCUUUUUUAUUUUAAAUUUUUUUAUUAGUUUUUUGAUCCAUAAUUAAUGAUUAUAAGAUUAAAUUACCUUAGGGAUAACAGCAUAAUUUCUUUUGAGAGUUCAUAUCGAAAAAGAAGAUUGUGACCUCGAUGUUGGAUUAAGAUUAGUUUUUAAGGUGUAGAUGCUAAUAAACUGGGUCUGUUCGACCUUUAAAAUCUUACAUGAUCUGAGUUCAAACCGGCGUGAGCCAGGUUGGUUUCUAUCUUUAAUUUUAUUUAAUAUUUUAGUACGAGAGGACCAAAUAUUUAAAAUAAUUUUUAUUUAAUGAAUAUUAUUAAUAU
rnacentral:rRNA from 1 species